UACGUAGGUGGCAAGCGUUGUCCGGAUUUACUGGGCGUAAAGGGCGUGCAGGCGGUCUGUUAAGUCUAGGGUGAAAGCUCCCGGCUCAACUGGGAGAGGUCCUUGGAUACUGGCAGACUUGAGGAGAGUAGAGGAGAGUGGAAUUCCUGGUGUAGCGGUGAAAUGCGUAGAUAUCAGGAGGAACACCUGCGGUGUAGACGGCUCUCUGGACCACUACUGACGCUGAAACACGAAAGCGUGGGUAGCAAACAGG
rnacentral:rRNA from 1 species